rnacentral:rRNA from 1 species
CAGCAGCCGCGGGAAUACGAAGGGGGCUAGCGUUGUUCGGAUUUACUGGGCGUAAAGCGCACGUAGGCGGACUUUUAAGUCAGGGGUGAAAUCCCGGGGCUCAACCCCGGAACUGCCUUUGAUACUGGAAGUCUUGAGUAUGGUAGAGGUGAGUGGAAUUCCGAGUGUAGAGGUGAAAUUCGUAGAUAUUCGGAGGAACACCAGUGGCGAAGGCGGCUCACUGGACCAUUACUGACGCUGAGGUGCGAAAGCGUGGGGAGCAAACAGGAUUAGAUACCCGCGUAGUCCCUGUCUCUUAUAU